AUUCCAUUUGGUGUUUACCAGUCUAAGUGCAAGAUUCCAUUUGGUGUUUACCAGUCUACAUACAACAUUCCAUUACGGUACUUACCAGUCUAUGUGCAAUAUUCCAUUACGGUACCUACCAAUCUAUGUACAAUAUUCCAUUAUGGUACUUACCAGUCUACAUACAACAUUCCAUUAUGGUACUUACCAGUCUAUGUACAAUAUUCCAUUAUGGUGUUUACCAGUCUACAUACAAUAUUCCAUUAUGGUGUUUACCAAUCUACAUAUCCUUUGCCACUGAGCUGUACAUUUUCACAGUAGGUUCACACUAAUUUAAUUUUCAUGAAUAUAUUACAGUUUUAUUUCAAAGAGUCUUCUCCCUUCACUCUUCUUUAAUAAAAAGCUUCAGCUUUUCUUGGCCUAUUAUUUUUUCUAUGUGAACUUUACACCCAGUUUCAGGAAAAAGUGAGCUUUUCUAUUCAAGUUGCAUGAAAAAUACAUAUUUACUGGCGAAGAGACACCAUCUUUAUAGCAUUAAGUCAUUUAUUUUCUCUUGCAGGGACAGUCUUCCAUCCAGGGCAGGAACAGGCAAGGGGACCUCCAUCCAUGAUCAAGUUACAUAUAACUCUGCCAGAAGAAGGAGAAGGAGAAGGAGAAGGAGAAGGAGAAGGAGAAGGAGAAGGAGAAGGAGAAGGAGAAGGAGAAGGAGAAGGGAUGCAGGGGCAGGCGCCGUGGUGUAGCAGGCCAGGCCACCGCCUGCAGUGCUGGCAUCCCAUAUGGGCUCCAGUUCGAGACCCAGCUGCUCCACUUCUGAUCCAGCUCUCUGCUGUGGCCUGGGAAAGCAGUGGAAAUGGCCCAGGUCCUUGGGCCCCUGCACCCACAUGGGAAACCCAGAGAAAGUUCCUGGCUCCUGGCUUUGGAUUGGCGCAGCUCUGGCCGUUGUGCACAUCUGGGGAGUGAACCAGUGGAUGGAAGACUUCUCUUUCUCUCUGUGCCUCUCUGUAACUCUGCCUUUCUAAUAAAUAAAACAAUCCUUUUUUUUUUUCUUUAAAG
rnacentral:lncRNA from 1 species